CAUUAGAGCCAUUAGCAUCAUUGUUUAAAAUUUCCAGUCUGAUAUUCCAGCAUCCCUGCUUUAAUUGAGUCUAGUUUGAUGCUUGCUGUGUCUCUUUAAAUCAUGUUUUUUGCUUUGUAGUAGCCGUGUAAUUUUUUUUUUUUUUAUUAAAAGGCAGACAUGAUGUAUCAGGCAGAAGGAACCCAGUACUGGUCCCCGCAGAGGUUUCUGCUUGUGGGUUCCUAAUGUCUAGAACCAAACCCUCUGAAGAAGCUGCCUGAUCCAGAACCUGCUUUGUUUUCCAAGGAAAAUUAAAGGUUAAAAAAAAAAAUCAGAAGCCCAACAGACUAUCUGCCAAUGAUUGGUUUGGAGAAUAAAGAUCCCUGGCUUCCCAUUGCCAGCA